CUACGUAGGUGACAAGCGUUAUCCGGAUUUACUGGGCGUAAAGGGCGUGUAGGCGGUCUUGCAAGUCAGAAGUGAAAUUCCUGAGCUCAACUCGGGCGCUGCUUCUGAAACUGCAGGACUUGAGUGCUGGAGGGGAUAGCGGAAUUCCUAGUGUAGCGGUGAAAUGCGUAGAGAUUGGGAGGAACACCAGUGGCGAAGGCGACUUACUGGACUGUAACUGACGCUGAGGCGCGAAAGUGUGGGGAGCAAACAGGAUUAGAUACCCUGGUAGUCCACACUGUAAACGAUGAAUGCUAGGUGUAGGGGGUAUCGACCCCUUCUGUGCCGCAGUCAACACAAUAAGCAUUCCGCCUGGGGAGUACGGCCGCAAGGUUGAAACUCAAAUGAAUUGACGGGG
rnacentral:rRNA from 1 species